AACGGAGGGGGCAAGUGUUACUCGUAAGGACUGGGCGUAAAGGGUUCGUAGGCGGUUUGUAGCAAGUUAGGUGUUAAAUAAUAAGUCUUAAGCUUAUUUUUGCAUCUAAAACUGACAAUACUGGAGUUUGAUAGAGGACAAGGGUACUUUUGAUGGAGAGGUAGAAUUCGUAGGUAUCAAUAGGGACCACCAACUGGCGAAGGCGCUUAUCUGGGUCAAACUGACGCUGAGGAACGAAAGCGCGGGGAGCAAACAGG
rnacentral:rRNA from 1 species